rfam:Gossypium arboreum cultivar AKA8401 contig_15_19, whole genome shotgun sequence.
GAUGAGUGAAAGACAAAUUAGAUUUUUUCUUCUGAUUUUCAGCAUUUUUUUCUUGAAAAAAUUCAUAUCCAACUAAAAAUGCUUAAAAUCAGUAAUAAAAAUAUGAUUUGUCAUUCUACCAUU